rnacentral:rRNA from 1 species
CUGGAUUCGCUAGUAAUCGCGCAUCAGCCAUGGCGCGGUGAAUACGUUCCCGGGCCUUGUACACACCGCCCGUCAAGCCAUGAAAGCCGGGGGGCGCCUGAAGUCCGUGACCGCGAGGGUCGGCCUAGGGUGAAACCGGUGAUUGGGGCUAAGUCGUAACAAGGUAAC